CGAUUGGCCACACGGGGGCAGCAGAGACUGCGGAAACUCCUUCCCAACCCGGCUGACGGCCCGCCGGGAACUGCGGCGGGGUUUCGUUUCUCUCUUUCCUGGAUAGCAGAGGAAAGAAAUAACCACAGAAGAGGAAGGGGUCGCAGAAUGGGAGACGACGAAGAAAACCAAGGAAAACUUCGAUAGACAUACACACUGUGUGAAGUGCUUAUGAAUACCUGUAAAUAAACAAAUAAGCAGCAAAAUCAUGUUGUCAUGGCUUUUUAAACAAUAUUAUUAUUUUUUUUUCAGCUAGCAUCUGAGGUGAUGAAAAAAACAUGGUAUCAACCAGACCGGCACACAGAGAAGCCACGAAUGGCCCUUAAAUGAGCUCAGGGAGGGGUGGGGGCAGGCCCCAUAGAGCCCCAUAGAGCCCCAUAGAGCCCCAUAGAGCCCCAUAGAGCCCCAUAGCCGCCCCAUAGAGCCCCAUAGAGCCCCAUAGAGCCCCAUAGCCGCCCCAUAGAGCCCAUAGAGCCCCAUAGAGCCCCAUAGCCGCCCCAUAGAGCCCCAUAGAGCCCCAUAGAGCCCCAUAGCCCCC
ensembl:lncRNA